CAGCUGGCUUCACCUCUCACCACUGUGCUGAAUCAGGGAUUAUGCAACAGAUUUCCCCAGAACUCCAUCCCCACCUGACACUGAGCCCUCAGUCAACGACUGAUCAAUAGAUGUCAUUGUAAGGAAUAUACCCUAAAAGAGAAGGAAGUAAGAAUGAAAACUAUGGAGAAGCUUUCUAUGUUUCUUAUCACAAUUUUACUGAGAGAAUGAAAGAAAACAAUCCUCUGGCCUAUGUUUUGAAACAUGAUGUCAAGACUUUAUUUUGAUUUGGUUAGAUAAUUCUCU
rnacentral:lncRNA from 1 species